CCUACGGGAGGCAGCAGUGGGGAAUAUUGGGCAAUGGGCGCAAGCCUGACCCAGCAACGCCGCGUGAAGGAAGAAUGCUCUCUGGUUGUAAACUUCUUUUAUCAGGGACGAAGCAAGUGACGGUACCUGAUGAAUAAGCCACGGCUAACUACGUGCCAGCAGCCGCGGUAAUACGUAGGUGGCAAGCGUUAUCCGGAUUUACUGGGUGUAAAGGGCGUGUAGGCGGGAAAGCAAGUCAGAUGUGAAAACCAUGGGCUCAACCUGUGGCCUGCAUUUGAAACUGUUGUUCUUGAGUACUGGAGAGGUAGACGGAAUUCCUGGUGUAGCGGUGAAAUGCGUAGAUAUUAGGAGGAACACCAGUGGCGAAGGCGGUAUGCUGGACAGCAACUGACGCUGAGGCGCGAAAGCGUGGGGAGCAAACAGGAUUAGAUACCCGAGUAGUC
rnacentral:rRNA from 1 species